UGCUAACGUAUCAAAUUCUGUUCCCUGCUGUAGAAUUUUGGUGAGGACUUCCAUAAAUGUAGCUCUUGUCUGGAGGUCUUUAUGAUAGCCCAAGCCUAUUGAAUGCAUAAGACCACUGUCCACAUUUGCAUUUAGUAAAUUUGACAUAGCAAGAACAGUGCAGUGCCGCAGCGAAGCCAGUCUUCGGGACAUCCCACGUUUCCUGCCACCUGUUUGUGCACUUUCAUCUUCAACUUCACUACAGUCAUUUAGAAGGUUCAUAAACAGUGUGAAAUAUUUAAGAAAUAACUGAGAUUUGGCUUCCAUCAACUCAACACCAUCUCCUUCUUCAGGCUGUAACGGAAGCCCAGCAAGAAGAGAGACCACUGCUUCCAUACUUGCUUGGUCCAAAUCUCUUGUCAAGCACUUCACAUCUUCAUCUGUUGCUUGAUUAGAUGUUCCCAUAACCCAGUCUGUCAGAUAUUCCACCAUUUUGUUCCUAAAUUUCAUUUCUUGGCAAAAUGAAAGGUCAUCUCUCCGCUCCAUCAUUAC
rnacentral:lncRNA from 1 species